rnacentral:rRNA from 1 species
UACGUAGGGGGCAAGCGUUGUCCGGAUUUAUUGGGCGUAAAGAGCGUGUAGGCGGCUUUACAAGUCCGUUGUGAAAACCCGAGGCUCAACCUCGAGACGCCGGUGGAAACUGCAAAGCUAGAGUCCGGAAGAGGAGAGUGGAAUUCCUGGUGUAGCGGUGAAAUGCGCAGAUAUCAGGAAGAACACCCGUGGCGAAGGCGGCUCUCUGGGACGGUACUGACGCUGAGACGCGAAAGCGUGGGGAGCGAACAGG